CCUACGGGCGGCUGCAGUGGGGAAUAUUGGACAAUGGGGGGAACCCUGAUCCAGCCAUGCCGCGUGUGUGAAGAAGGCCCUCGGGUUGUAAAGCACUUUCAGUGAGGAAGAACGCCUGGUGGUUAAUACCCAUCAGGAAAGACAUCACUCACAGAAGAAGCACCGGCUAACUCCGUGCCAGCAGCCGCGGUAAUACGGAGGGUGCGAGCGUUAAUCGGAAUUACUGGGCGUAAAGCGCGCGUAGGUGGCUUGAUAAGCCGGUUGUGAAAGCCCGGGGCUCAACCUGGGAACGGCAUCCGAAACUGUCAAGCUAGAGUGCAGGAGAGGAAGGUAGAAUUCCCGGUGUAGCGGUGAAAUGCGUAGAGAUCGGGAGGAAUACCAGUGGCGAAGGCGGCCUUCUGGACUGACACUGACACUGAGGUGCGAAAGCGUGGGUAGCAAACAGGAUUAGAUACCCGAGUAGUC
rnacentral:rRNA from 1 species